rnacentral:rRNA from 1 species
GAUGAACGCUGGCGGCGUGCUUAACACAUGCAAGUCGAACGAUGAAGCCCAGCUUGCUGGGUGGAUUAGUGGCGAACGGGUGAGUAACACGUGAGUAACCUGCCCUUAACUCUGGGAUAAGCCUGGGAAACUGGGUCUAUUACAGGAUAGGAGCGCCUACCGCACGGGGGGUGUUGGAAAGAUUUAUCGGUUUUGGAUGGACUCGCGGCCUAUCAGCUUGUUGGUGUGGUAAUGGCUCACCAAGGCGACGACGGGUAGCCGGCCUGAGAGGGUGACCGGCCACACUGGGACUGAGACACGGCCCAGACUCCUACGGGAGGCAGCAGUGGGGAAUAUUGCACAAUGGGCGAAAGCCUGAUGCAGCGACGCCGCGUGAGGGAUGACGGCCUUCGGGUUGUAAACCUCUUUCAGUAGGGAAGAAGCGAAAGUGACGGUACCUGCAGAAGAAGCACCGGCUAACUACGUG